rnacentral:rRNA from 1 species
AUUGAACGCUGGCGGCGUGCCUAACACAUGCAAGUCGAAUGGUAACAGGAAACAGCUUGCUGUUUCGCUGACGAGUGGCGGGCGGGUGUGUCAUGUCUGGAAACCUGCUUGAUGGAGGGGGAUAACUCGUGAAAACGGUAGCUAAUACCGCAUAUCGUCUCAAGACCAGAGAGGGGUACCUUCGGACCGCUUUCCUUUCGAUGUUACCAGAUGGGAUUAGCUAGUAGGUGGGGUAACGGCUCACCUCUUAGACGAUCCCUAGCUGGUCUGAGAGGAUGAACAGCCACACUGGAACUGAGACACGGUCCAGACUCCUACGGGAGGCAGCAGUGGGGAAUAUUGCACAAUGGGCGCAAGCCUGAUGCAGCCAUGCCGCGUGUAUGAAGAAGGCCUUCGGGUUGUAAAGUACUGUCAGCGGGGAAGAAGAGAGUAAAGUGAAUACCUUCACGCAUUGACGUUACCCACAGAAGAAGCACCGGCUAACUCCGUG